rnacentral:rRNA from 1 species
UUAGCGGCGGACGGGUGAGUAACACGUGGAUAACCUACCUAUAAGACUGGGAUAACUUCGGGAAACCGGAGCUAAUACCGGAUAAUAUUUUGAACCGCAUGGUUCAAAAGUGAAAGACGGUCUUGCUGUCACUUAUAGAUGGAUCCGCGCUGCAUUAGCUAGUUGGUAAGGUAACGGCUUACCAAGGCAACGAUGCAUAGCCGACCUGAGAGGGUGAUCGGCCACACUGGAACUGAGACACGGUCCAGACUCCUACGGGAGGCAGCAGUAGGGAAUCUUCCGCAAUGGGCGAAAGCCUGACGGAGCAACGCCGCGUGAGUGAUGAAGGUCUUCGGAUCGUAAAACUCUGU